CUGGAGCACGCUGCACUUCCGGCUUGUGACUGCUGUGAUUUGUCUGCUCGAGCGUCGGAUCUUCGGCUGGCAGGUUCACCCCCCCCUACUCGCCGAAGUAACACAGUAAUGCGAAGCGAGUAGCCCUGUUGUCUGCACGUAGCAUUCUCGGGACGUCUUCCCUCUGGAGCGACUCAAACUCUGCGUAACGUGGCUGAGAGCUGAAGGUGGUGGUAUCUCCCUUCCUGUGUGCUGUGCCUCACCCCUUUUUUAUUUGCUGUGCUCACUGUUUGCGUGUUCACGGGUGACUUUCCCUGAGAUCCUGUUCCAUCCUUGUUCCCUUUCCCCCUCCAUCAGGUAAGCCACAGCCCUAAUUAUUUGUCCCCUAUUGGUGUGAAGGUAUUUUUAAAAUUGAUUGUUUUUAAUCGCAUUGAUUUUGUAAUAAAAAUGUAUACUUUUUUUAAAGUUGAACCUUGUCUUUGGCGCCUUCUUGUAAACUGACCUGUGUGUCCUUAAGCAUUAUAUUGAA